rnacentral:lncRNA from 1 species
GGGGUUGUCAGAUAAUCUUUCUUGGAGAGAGUAAUUCCAUGGCCUAUCGAAAGAUAGUCUUUCUUGAAAUUCUCUAUAUUGAAUCACUUCAACAUGAUGUCAAUAUAUGUGGAUUGGAAUAAUCCAAACAAUCAUCUAGAUCUAUCCCUAUAAAUCUUCAUCCCUAGGAUAUAGGAUGCUCCUCUCAAGUGUUGGGAAAUGUGUCCCAAAGUCAAUCGUUAGAUGAUUGUGCUCAUCUUGUAAAUUAUAUAUGAAUUUUUAUUAAU